ACACAUGCCCUGAAGGCCACCCACGGAGAGACGCUGGUCCUUUGGGGUCCUGGAGGGCACCGCAGAGCUGCACCGCUGGUGGCUUCCCGAAUCGACGGCCCCGAGCCAGCCCAUGGCGGAGGUGCGGGGCCUGCGGCGCGGUGGCGUGCAGCACGAGCUGCUAGAGAAGGUGGCGCGCCUGCAGCGGGGCGCGAGGCACGCGGAGCCCGAGGCGGCGGCGCGCAGAACCGCAGGCGACGGCGGCUCUGGCUCCGGCUCGGGCUUCUGGUGCUGGCGGCGGCUGUUCGCGCGCGGAGCCCGCGGGGCGCGCCGGAGGAAGGGCAAGUUCUCGCGGCCCGGCGCCGCGGCCACGUCGGAGCGCAGCGUGUGGGCGCCCCCGGGCCUGCAGAGGCUGUUGCAGAGGUUGGCGACGUGGCGGCGGCGUUACCUGCGGCGAGGGGAGCGGCCCGAGGGCCUAGAGGAGAUCCCGCUGCUCGUGCUGGAGCGCGCGCGCGCCGCCGACUAGGGGACGCCCUGUCCCGUCUCGCGCGCGCGAACCCCGGCGGCGGUUAGGUUUUGUAAAUGAAUUUAAGAAGUGGAAAUAAAUCCCCCGCACUGGA